rnacentral:rRNA from 1 species
AUUGAACGCUGGCGGCAGGCCUAACACAUGCAAGUCGAGCGGAUGAAGGGAGCUUGCUCCUGGAUUCAGCGGCGGACGGGUGAGUAAUGCCUAGGAAUCUGCCUGGUAGUGGGGGAUAACGUCCGGAAACGGGCGCUAAUACCGCAUACGUCCUGAGGGAGAAAGUGGGGGAUCUUCGGACCUCACGCUAUCAGAUGAGCCCAGGUCGGAUUGGCUAGUUGGUGGGGUAAAGGCCUACCAAGGCGACGAUCCGUAACUGGUCUGAGAGGAUGAUCAGUCACACUGGAACUGAGACACGGUCCAGACUCCUACGGGAGGCAGCAGUGGGGAAUAUUGGACAAUGGGCGAAAGCCUGAUCCAGCCAUGCCGCGUGUGUGAAGAAGGUCUUCGGAUUGUAAAGCACUUUAAGUUGGGAGGAAGGGCAGUAAGUUAAUACCUUGCUGUUUUGACGUUACCAACAGAAUAAGCACCGGCUAACUUCGUG